rnacentral:tRNA from 2 species
GCUCCUAAAGGAUAACAGCUCAUCCACUGGUCUUAGGAACCAGGAACUCUUGGUGCAAAUCCAAGUAGUAGCU